UACCAUGCCAUUUCAGCCAUACAUCUUUAAUAAGAUAUAGUUUAUGUACAAUAAUAAGUUAUAUAUACAGCGACACUUUGGUUCUGUAAAAGAGUUUGUGUGUUUUUACAUGCUCUACUAUACUGCAUGUGCUACUGAGGUAAGUAAUUCAUGUUUGGCUUCUGCUUGUUAUUAUGUCAGCAUAUUACAUGUCAUACAAAAUUUGUCUUAAAACAGGCUGCACUUCAGUCCACUGACUCACUAUUUUUUUUUUCUUUUUAAAAAUCUAUCAACAGCAUAUUACAAUUCAAAAAGAAUAUUUGUGAACUGAAGUGGAUUUGAUGAUGACAGUCAAGCUCUAAUAAAGCAGUACAUUUAAUUGUAAGCUUUAAAUCAAGAACAAGCAGAUUCUGGAGUCAUACUUGAUAAGCAUAAAUGUAAAUAAAUUUAAAAUAAUGGAGUCCAGCUCCAGGUUGGCAUGUAAAAUGGGAACAACGAGCUUUAGGAAAGAAAAAAGUCUGUGCUUAUCAGUCAUGGCAGAUUACCCAGACAACAUCAGGUAUCAGAUGAAGAUCCGCUCCAUUCCCGAGAAAUGAGAUCAAAGCCAGUUUCGGCACUGCGUGGUUAAGUUUGGAAGCUUAAAUUCUGCAGGAAGCAGCAGAGUCAACCUACAGCAUGUUAACUGUUAACAUCACUUAUAAUGGACUUCAGGGGAUCAUUAAAAUGCAGGUCUUUAAAAAGGUUCAAUCAGAUGCUUAACAGACCCACAGUUUAUUUACUGUACGUACAGCACCUAAGUGGCUUCAGCUGCUUUCCAGAACUCACACAACUGCAUGCUGAUCUUGUUUGCUAUAUUGGUCCCAUCGGGGAGAGGCGAGCUAUAAUCCUGUGUGUGAGCAUGACUGAGCUAACCACAAGAGCUGAAUAAGACCAGACGUUAUAGGACACAACUGUAGUGCUACCUCCACCGCAACCGACUGCACCGUCUCACCGUUGACAGCGCAGCAACCCCGGAGGCAUUUAGUCAUUCCUCUGGCCUGGCACUGCUC
ensembl:lncRNA